ACAGCGCCGCUGGUUGGGCCUCCUUGGGAAACGUGCUGAGGCCUGGCAAGGUUGAUAACCCGCACCUUGCCAAGUGCUUCUCACAGCUCAUCGCAUUCUUGCCUGACCUUCAGCCCUACCUGUAUCUCCAUUGCUCAGAUGAGGAAAUUGAGGGAUAAAGGGGGGAAUCGGCCGGGCGCGGUGGCUCACGCCUGCAGUCCCAGCACUUUGGGAGGCCGAGGCGGGCGGAUCCCUUGAGCUCUGGAGUUCGAGACCCAGCCUGGGCAACACGGCGAAACCCUCUCUCACCAAAAAUACUACUACUAUUACUAUUACUACUACUACUACUGCUACUACUAGCAACACGUAGUGGAGCACGCCUGUGGUCCCAGUGGAUCGCUUGAGCCCGGGGGCCGAGGCUGCAGUGAGCUGUAAUGGAGCCACUGCACUCCAGCCUGGGCGACAGAGCGAGACCCUGUCUCUAAAUAAAAAAUACUUUUUUUUAAAUUAAAAAUUUUAAAAAAUAGCGAAUCGACUUUUCCAAGCCGCAGAAUUUGAGCCCAGAUCUGAUGACAAAAGCCCUGGUCCUUAAGAGCAGAGCAGGCCUUAGGGGAAUUUACUAAGACCCAGGUGUCAGCGGGGAGCAGUGGCUCACGCCUGUAAUCCCAGCACUUUGGGAGGCCGAGACGGGUGGAUCACUGAGGUCAGAAGUUCAAGAGCAGCCAUGGCCAACCUGGUGAAACCUCAUCUCUACUAAAAAUACAAAAAUUAGCCGGGUGUGGUGGUGGGCGCCUGUAAUCCCAGCUACUCGAGGGCUGAGGCAGGAUAAUUGCUUGAACCGGGAGGCAGAGGUUGCAGUGAGCCAAGAUUGUGCCACUGCACUCCAACCUGGGCAACAAAGCGAGACUCGGUCUCAAAAAACAACAACAAAACCCAGGUGUCACCACCCAGAAGCUCGUGGACGAAUGGGGGAUCCAAGAGAGAGGCCCAAGAGAUGACCAGCAGGACAGCAAUUCUGGCACAAGUCCAAGAAGGGUGUUGGCAAGUGUUAUCUGUAAGGACCGUAGUGAAUAAGCUGGGCUUGGGCUUGCCAGACCGGAAGGUAUCUGUCACAAUAGGUGUGACUGUAUGUAAUAAAACCUUAUGGGCAGGGCAUGGUGGCUCACACCAGUAAUCUUGGGAAGCUAAGGCAGGAGGAUUGCUUGAGCCCAGGAGUUUGAGACCAGCCUUUGCAACAUGAGGAGA
rnacentral:lncRNA from 10 species